rnacentral:rRNA from 1 species
AAUGCAGUUGAGCGCUGAAGGUUGGUACUUGUACCAACUGGAUGAGCAGCGAACGGGUGAGUAACGCGUGGGGAAUCUGCCUUUGAGCGGGGGACAACAUUUGGAAACGAAUGCUAAUACCGCAUAAAAACUUUAAACACAAGUUUUAAGUUUGAAAGAUGCAAUUGCAUCACUCAAAGAUGAUCCCGCGUUGUAUUAGCUAGUUGGUGAGGUAAAGGCUCACCAAGGCGAUGAUACAUAGCCGACCUGAGAGGGUGAUCGGCCACAUUGGGACUGAGACACGGCCCAAACUCCUACGGGAGGCAGCAGUAGGGAAUCUUCGGCAAUGGACGAAAGUCUGACCGAGCAACGCCGCGUGAGUGAAGAAGGUUUUCGGAUCGUAAAACUCUGUUGGUAGAGAAGAACGUUGGUGAGAGUGGAAAGCUCAUCAAGUGACGGUAACUACCCAGAAAGGGACGGCUAACUACGUGCCAGCAGCCGCGGUAAUACGUAGGUCCCGAGCGUUGUCCGGAUUUAUUGGGCGUAAAGCGAGCGCAGGUGGUUUAUUAAGUCUGGUGUAAAAGGCAGUGGCUCAACCAUUGUAUGCAUUGGAAACUGGUAGACUUGAGUGCAGGAGAGGAGAGUGGAAUUCCAUGUGUAGCGGUGAAAUGCGUAGAUAUAUGGAGGAACACCGGUGGCGAAAGCGGCUCUCUGGCCUGUAACUGACACUGAGGCUCGAAAGCGUGGGGGAGCAAACAGGAUUAGAUACCCUGGUAGUCCACGCCGUAAACGAUGAGUGCUAGAUGUAGGGAGCUAUAAGUUCUCUGUAUCGCAGCUAACGCAAUAAGCACUCCGCCUGGGGAGUACGACCGCAAGGUUGAAACUCAAAGGAAUUGACGGGGGCCCGCACAAGCGGUGGAGCAUGUGGUUUAAUUCGAAGCAACGCGAAGAACCUUACCAGGUCUUGACAUACUCGUGCUAUUCCUAGAGAUAGGAAGUUCCUUCGGGACACGGGAUACAGGUGGUGCAUGGUUGUCGUCAGCUCGUGUCGUGAGAUGUUGGGUUAAGUCCCGCAACGAGCGCAACCCCUAUUGUUAGUUGCCAUCAUUAAGUUGGGCACUCUAACGAGACUGCCGGUGAUAAACCGGAGGAAGGUGGGGAUGACGUCAAAUCAUCAUGCCCCUUAUGACCUGGGCUACACACGUGCUACAAUGGAUGGUACAACGAGUCGCGAGACAGUGAUGUUUAGCUAAUCUCUUAAAACCAUUCUCAGUUCGGAUUGUAGGCUGCAACUCGCCUACAUGAAGUCGGAAUCGCUAGUAAUCGCGGAUCAG